rnacentral:rRNA from 1 species
CCCUUAGAUGUUCUGGGCCGCACGCGCGCUACAAUGAUGAAUUCAACGAGUUUAUAACCUUGGUUGAAAAGCCUGGGUAAUCUUUUGAACUUUCGUCGUGAUGGGGCUAGACCCUUGCAAUUAUUGGUCUCCAACGAGGAAUUCCUAGUAAACGCAAGCCAUCAGCUUGCAUUGAUUACGUCCCUGCCCUUUGUACACACCGCCCGUCGCACCUACCGAUUGAAUGGUCCGGUGAAAUCUUCGGAUUGAGACUUUGUUUUCUUCACGGAAAACGCUGUUUUAAAAAGUUGAUUAAACCUUACCAUUUAGAGGAAGGUGAAGUCGUAACA